UAGUCCACGCCGUAAACGAUGACAACUAGCUGUUGGAAGACAACGUCUUUCAGUGGCGCAGCUAACGUUUUAAGUUGUCCGCCUGGGGAGUACGGCCGCAAGGCUAAAACUCAAAUGAAUUGACGGGGACCCGCACAAGCGGUGGAGCAUGUGGUUUAAUUCGAUGCAACGCGAAAAACCUUACCUACUCUUGACAUACUUGGGAGCUCUUGUAAUGAGAGUGUGCCUUUUGGAACCAAGAUACAGGUGCUGCAUGGCUGUCGUCAGCUCGUGUCGUGAGAUGUUCCGUUAAGUCGGAUAACGAGCGCAACCCUUACCCUUAUUUGCCAGCGAUUCGGUCGGGAACUAUAUGGGGACUGCCGGUGAUAAACCGGAGGAAGGUGAGGACGACGUCAAGUCAUCACGGGCCCUUACGAGUAGGGGCUACACACGUGCUACAAUGGGGGAAUACAGACGGGACGCUAAGCCGCGAGGGUGGUGCUAAUCCUAGAAAGUUUCUCGUAGUCCGGGAUUGGGAGUCUGGCAAC
rnacentral:rRNA from 1 species